rnacentral:rRNA from 1 species
GCUUGUCUCAAAGAUUAAGCCAUGCAUGUCUAAGAAUAAGCCCAUAGAACGGCGAAUCUGCGAAUGGCUCAUUACAUCAGUUAUUGUUUAUUUGAUGGUACACUAUGCCUUUUAGGCAGGGCUACUUGGAUAACCGUAGUAAUUCUAGAGCUAAUACAUGCACUCGAGCCUCGACCGAGGCCCCGGCAACGGGGUCGCGGAAGAGGUGCUUUUAUUAGAUCAAAACCAGUCGGGGAAACGAUCGCCGGGUCAAACCGGUCGGUCGCGGAACCGUACCAAUUUUGGUGACUCUGGAUAACUUCACGCCGAUCGCACGGCCUUCGCGCCGGCGACGUAUCUUUCAAAUGUCUGCCUUAUCAACUGUCGAUGGUAGGUUACGCGCCUACCAUGGUUGCAACGGGUAACGGGGAAUCGGGGUUCGAUUCCGGAGAGGGAGCCUGAGAAACGGCUACCACAUCCAAGGAAGGCAGCAGG